UAAGACUAACUUUUCAGGGAUCAUUUCUAUAGUUUGUUAUUAGAGAAGUUUCUCUGAACGUGUAGAGCACCAUUGACAUUCUCUUUUGCUGAA
ensembl:snoRNA U3 Small nucleolar RNA U3